rnacentral:rRNA from 1 species
AGCAGCCGCGGUAAUUCCAGCUCCAAUAGCGUAUAUUAAAGUUGUUGCAGUUAAAAAGCUCGUAGUUGAAUUUCGGGAUCAAUAUGUCGGUCGUGCCUCCGGUACGUACUGGCAUGAUUGAUUUCUCCCUUCUGACGAACCAUGAUGUCAUUAAUUUGGUGUCAUGGGGAGUCAGGACUGUUACUUUGAAAAAAUUAGAGUGUUUAAAGCAGGCUCACGCUUGAAUACAUUAGCAUGGAAUAAUGAAAUAGGACGUUUGAUCCUAUUUUGUUGGUUUCUAGGAUCAACGUAAUGAUUAAUAGGGAUAGUUGGGGGCAUUAGUAUUCAAUUGUCAGAGGUGAAAUUCUUGGAUUUAUUGAAGACUAACUACUGCGAAAGCAUUUGCCAAGGAUGUUUUCAUUAAUCAAGAACGAAAGUUAGGGGAUCGAAGACGAUCAGAUACCGUCGUAG